rnacentral:rRNA from 1 species
AGAGUUUGAUCCUGGCUCAGGAUGACGCUGGCGGCGUGCCUAACACAUGCAAGUCGAGCGAAGUCGAUUUUGUAGGAAGUUUACGGAUGGAAUUAAGAUUGACUGAGCGGCGACGGGUGAGUAACGCGUGGGUAACCUGCCUCAUACAGGGGGAUAACAGUUAGAAAUGACUGCUAAUACCGCAUAAGCGCACGGGACCGCAUGGUCUUGUGUGAAAAACUCCGGUGGUAUGAGAUGGACCCGCGUCUGAUUAGGUAGUUGGCGGGGUAGCGGCCCACCAAGCCGACGAUCAGUAGCCGACCUGGGAGGGUGACCGGCCACAUUGGGACUGAGACACGGCCCAAACUCCUACGGGAGGCAGCAGUGGGGAAUAUUGCACAAUGGGGGAAACCCUGAUGCAGCGACGCCGCGUGAGUGAAGAAGUAUUUCGGUAUGUAAAGCUCUAUCAGCAGGGAAGAAAGUGACGGUACCUGAGUAAGAAGCCCCGGCUAACUACGUG